AUUGAACGCUGGCGGCAGGCCUAACACAUGCAAGUCGAGCGGAUGAAGGGAGCUUGCUCCUGGAUUCAGCGGCGGACGGGUGAGUAAUGCCUAGGAAUCUGCCUGGUAGUGGGGGAUAACGUCCGGAAACGGGCGCUAAUACCGCAUACGUCCUGAGGGAGAAAGUGGGGGAUCUUCGGACCUCACGCUAUCAGAUGAGCCUAGGUCGGAUUAGCUAGUUGGUGGGGUAAAGGCCUACCAAGGCGACGAUCCGUAACUGGUCUGAGAGGAUGAUCAGUCACACUGGAACUGAGACACGGUCCAGACUCCUACGGGAGGCAGCAGUGGGGAAGAUUGGACAAUGGGCGAAAGCCUGAUCCAGCCAUGCCGCGUGUGUGAAGAAGGUCUUCGGAUUGUAAAGCACUUUAAGUUGGGAGGAAGGGCAGUAAGUUAAUACCUUGCUGUUUUGACGUUACCAACAGAAUAAGCACCGGCUAACUUCGU
rnacentral:rRNA from 1 species